rnacentral:rRNA from 1 species
CCAGACUCCUACGGGAGGCAGCAGUGGGGAAUCUUCCGCAAUGGGCGCAAGCCUGACGGAGCAACGCCGCGUGAAUGAAGAAGGUCUUCGGAUCGUAAAGUUCUGUUCUUAGGGAAGAAGUCUUUUCUUGUGAAUAAUGGGAGAAGGUGACGGUACCUAUGGAGAAAGCUCCGGCUAACUACGUGCCAGCAGCCGCGGUAAUACGUAGGGAGCGAGCGUUGUCCGGAAUUACUGGGCGUAAAGGGCGCGUAGGCGGGAACUUAAGUUAGAUGUGAAAACUCCGGGCUCAACCUGGAGACUGCAUUUAAAACUGGGUUUCUUGAGGGCAGGAGAGGAAAGUGGAAUUCCUAGUGUAGCGGUGAAAUGCGUAGAUAUUAGGAGGAACACCAGUGGCGAAGGCGACUUUCUGGACUGUACCUGACGCUGAGGCGCGAAAGCAUGGGGAGCGAACAGGAUUAGAUACCCUGGUAC